rnacentral:lncRNA from 1 species
CACAACUGGCACACACACUCACUCGAUCUGACUGCACAGACCGGCUCUGAUUGACACGUAACCUCACAGUCCGAAGACGACCUGCUCUGAUACCACUUUGUAACACCCAAACCCGUUAUUUAAUUAACUCUGCCUUUAUAAAAUCUUUUUCGAAAAUACGCAGCGGAAAAAUUGAAAAUCUGAUUUAUAAAGCGCUGGUUUGAAUAUCACAAACUU